CCUACGGGAGGCAGCAGUGGGGGAUAUUGCACAAUGGGGGAAACCCUGAUGCAGCGACGCCGCGUGUGGGAAGACGGUCCUCUGGAUUGUAAACCACUGUCCUCAGGGACGAAGAUGACGGUACCUGGGGAGGAAGCUCCGGCUAACUACGUGCCAUCAGCCGCGGUAAUACGUAGGGAGCAAGCGUUGUCCGGAAUUACGGGGGGUACAGGGAGCGUAGGGGGGAUGGCAAGUUGGGUGUUAAAUCUACCGGCUCAACUGGUAGUCGCACUCAAAACUGCUAUUCUUGAGUGAAGUAGGGGCAGGCGGAAUUCCUAGUGGAGCGGUGAAAUGCGUAGAGAUGAGGAGGAACACCAGUGGCGAAGGCAGCCUGCUGGGCUUUUACUGACGCUGAGGCGCGAAAGUGUGGGGAGCAAACAGGAUUAGAUACCCGAGUAGUC
rnacentral:rRNA from 1 species